AGAAAUGUGCCUGAAAACAAAGGACUACUUUGAUAGAGUAGAUCAUGAGAGUUAAAAUCUCCCCAUUUCUU
rnacentral:tRNA from 1 species